CACAGCCCCUCUGUACUGAUCAGUGACCAGUGCAGUUCGGGAGACUGAAAUCGUGUGCAGGGUCACGGCCAAAGGAGAUGGAGUUAACCGGAUGCAUGUUAACCAUUAACUGGAGUGCAGGUGCUGAAACAUCCAGGCCGACGUCUGUGGGCAUCUGACUGAGCAAUGGCGUUUUGCGUACGCUCACCAUCCCGAGGCUCGUCAGUGUGACAGGCUGGAGCUGUAGAAGAUAGAGAUGACUCAUGACUGGAGCUUUAUGUAAAUGAAGAACAUCUUCUGUUGCUUCCUGUUGUACCAACAAGGCCACGUAAAGUUCACGUCAGUGACAUCGUGUUCCCAUGUCCCCCCUGUUGUUGAGCCAGGGUGGGUAUGUGGGGUGAGACCUGGUGGUUCCCCCACAGAGGACAUUAGGUCAAAACCAGCAGUGAAUGUGAAUGGGAAACCUCUGGAACACCAAGCUGAAGAUUCCUUCCCAGCAGCAAUAUGUAGAGAAAGUUUACUGUCUCCUUUUGCUGUCAGUUGCAAAAGUGAUUGAGCCACUGACUGUAAACUUUGAAGGGGAGCCAGAUGAAGAGGAAGUGAAGAAUUUCAGCAAAUUGCUCUCUCCUUGGGAUGUAGUCAUUUUUAGUAAGAUGUGUGGGUCAUCUGAGUGUGACAUAGCUAAUCAUCUCAUUUAGCUUAUCCAAAGCGUGACAAAAAAAAUACCCUUCUGCUAAGUGACAUGAUGUUUCAUGGCCCCUCUCAACAGCCUCAAAUAGGCAGCUAUCCUGUGCAAGAGCAAUGAGGAGGAGUGAAAGCCCUAAAGAGCAGUGCAGUGGAAUUGUGUCUAUCCAAAGGCACAGAUAAUAUUAGUCCAGGUGGAGGGCCAAAUUCUCUGACUCACUCACAAAAAAAAUCAUGCUGAAGUUCAUCGAAGAUGGUGGAAUUAAUCUAGUGUGAAAAUAAUAUGAAAGGACAAUGUCAAACUCCAAAAUGUCGACCUCCUUGGAUUUCUAGGGUGCAAUGACUCAUGUACGUGCAUAUUGCUUGCAGAGACAGAAACGCACCCACAACUCUGCAGAGAGACAAAAGAUGUGAAAAGAAAUUGCUCACUAGAUAGGAUUUGUCUUGCACUGUAUACAUCAUUUAAAAUUAGAAGAAAGAUUUGAUUGACUUCAGUUGGAGUUCUGCUUGGAUAAGGAAGUAGUAGCUGAAAUGAGAGAUGGAAAGCAUCUCUCACCAGCCCUGAGUUCACAGAAGAGUGGCUCUUUGCAUACUGUGGGUUGUUCUGCUGGGUGAGGUACAGGUGGCUUCCCUCAAAUCCUUUCUGAGCAUUUCUCAGUGCUGUGUACAUUCUUACACCUGAUUCUCCUCCUUAACCUGUACAUAUCAUCUGACUGAAACACAAUCGUUUUCUUCUAAUCCAUUGUGAACACUAAAAUUACAGAUCAUACAUUACAGUCAUCCUAAUUUAACGAAGAUGAGUAUAUUUAGUUCAUUUACUUUUGACUGUUUUUUUCCCCCUUUUCUACCUUAUUCAGGUCUCUGCAUGUGGCAACCAGACCUACCUAUUUUAACCCUAUUCCUGCUAGCAUUGCAGCUGCAGAACUAAUCUGUGUGCUCCGACUUCCAGAGAAGUCUGCAUUAAACCUCCCAGACAGGUGCUGAAGUGAUUCAGCUCAUAUUUCUCACUGAUCCUCUAAAGGUUGGUCUUAUGAUGCUGAGAGCUCCUCCGUGAGCUAAGUCCUUCAUAUAUUUUUGCUCUCUCCAUUGCCUGUCCUCCACUCUGUUCCCCAAUGUAAUGGCUGAUAAUUAUGCUCUUUUCAGUGGUUUAUCUCUCUGCCCAUUGAAUCCAGCAUUCUUUUUUUUCUCAGCAGAAGGCUGACUCAUAAGGUAUGCUGCCUUCUAUCCUUAGAAAAAGUGAGUCACUAAUGGAUUUUCAUUGUAAAUUCAAGAGCCAUAGACUGAAAUUUUGUCCUAUCAGUCUUGUCCUGAGAUACGGUUUUCAAUUUGGAAUUUUAGUUAUGUGUCAGUGAGGCUCUGUGAGAUUCAAUAAAUGCUGUACCAGUAGCUGCAUUUUAUUAUGUUCUGUGAGCAUCCCCACUAACUGCAAUACUUCCAUGCUUUCACUCUUUGUGCGCUGCGUGCUUCCUAUCUAAACACAGAACUCCCUUCACAUCUGCAUCGUGAUGCAUCCAGCUUCUGUUCUCACCCAUCACAAAAGGUUCACGGUUGUUUUUAUAGGCUAUGUGAAAGCUAAGGGAACUCGGACACAUGUAAAGUAAUAUGAAUCCCUUUGGUGCUAUUGAAAUAGUAGAAACAGUCCUUUUGCUCCAGCAAUGCUAACUUGAUGACCUUUCAGACACUUGAUGAAUAUUCACCGCUUCUUACAGUGUCCCAUAACAGAAAGAUAAAUGCUAUUAUUUCUGCUUUGUAAGCAAGGGAAUUAAGGUUGAGGUGGCUUAGAUUGAGACAGGGCAGCAAUGGAAGCACUGUGGAUGAAAUGCAGGAGUCCCGUAUGUUUUUUUUUUACAAAGGAGCCAUAUUUUGUUUAAAGGAUUUUGCCACAUUUACAGCCGUUGAGUGACGUCAGCGUGAAGGAGCAUCUGGCAGAAGCUCUGUUAAGUUGCGACAUAAUUUGCAAUUCACAAGAGAAUACCCAUUUUUGCAUAUCCAUGUUGUACUCUGUUAAACUGGCUUUGCCGAGUAUUUUCAGGAGAGAGGUCUCAAGUCUCAGCUGUUAUUUAAAACUCUAUGAUGAGGAUGCAAAGGGGCUGCUAUUAGGGUGGUUGCUUUGCUCUUCAUCACUCAGAAGUGGAUAUGCUGCAAUGACAAGUUUGUAAAUCACAGUUAGUUCCGUUCUCACACCACCCAGUAACCUUCCAAUCUCUCUGUCAACUUCCUGCAGGCCUUGGGAAGCUAUAAUUUGUGAUAAAAAUGGGAGUUAAAAUGUUACAUGUAUAUCAGAGCCGAAAAUUUGUGGCUGGAUGACCUUUUCAUUUUCAGCAAAUGCACUCAUUUCCUUUGCGUUGCUUACUGUUUUCCUCUGAAGCUUGGCAUAAUAGGAAAUCCUCCACAAUUGUUCUCAUUAAUCAGUGGCUCCAUUGUGCCGGCUGCUGCUCCUUUCGAUGAGCAGCACGGAGCAUCUCAACCUGCUCCUCAUGGGGAACAUCGGUGCCCCAGGAACUUGAAUGGUUCAGUUCAGUUGUGAUGGAUGAGAGAACACCACUGGCAGCACGUGUGACAUUCAGAUGGCUGUCAGAAUAAGGAGGCACCCUCUCAUUUUCAGCUUAGAGAAAAAGGAAAAGCAGGCACUCAAUGGAUUUUACAGCAAUAUUUCUCAUGCUUGCCAUUAAGGUUAGAUGAAUAAUGAAAACAAAGAGAUUGAAAGUUUAGAUUUCACCUCAUUUCCAUACGUGAGGCAAUAUGAUUUGUCAUGUCACCGCUAAUAUUUGCAUAGUCAUCUGACAAUUAUACAGAAGGCCUAUGAAUCUCUGGGACAAAUGAGGUCUCUAGAAAUGUAUUCUGAAAUGCCUACUCAUUAGAACCAGCACAUCAUGGUUCAUUUGGGGAUCUGUUUCUCUUUGUCAUCCAGCGAAUGGGCCAGAAUUUCUGCAUUGUGGCCAUACAUCACAAACCACUGAGGUGAGAAUUCUGAGAGACAAGAUGCAUUUGCAAUAGCUUCAAGUUUCUGACAUUAAAAAAAAAGAAAGACUAACGUUGCCAAGAUGAUUUGUAAUGCCAACCUAUACUUGGUAAAACAUAAACAAAACCAUAGUGACAGAUUGGUGCUCAGGAAGCUGAUGGUUCUCCAAGUCUUAUCUUUUGCUUCCUGUUGCAGCACAGCGGUGUUGACAUCAUGUUCCUGCACAUGCAAUAUGCAAAAAGCUUGGGACUCGUAACUCGGUGGUUGCAUAAAUAAACAAUUUUGCUCGUUGC